rnacentral:lncRNA from 1 species
CCUCGUCCGGCCUAUGAUUCGGACAUGAUAUAUUUUCUUUUAUAACUAUUUAUUUCAUUUUAUUAGUGUUUAUGAUAAUUAUGCCGACCAACGUACCGUACCAGUCGACCAAGUGCGCGCGGCACGGUGACCGCCGGCGGUGCGGGCAGGACGCGAAGGCCGCCGACGCCGCGCACACCUCGCGUGCCGCCUGCGCCUUCCCGACGGCGUCCGCCAUUGGCGUGGCCGGCCCGGUCAAUCGAUCUGUCGACGUACGACGACCGCCGAGAGGACACGCGUGUGUAUGAGUGAUCGAUCUCUCGACGAAGGGAGGUUUUUGUUGGCGUGACUUGUCCGUCUCGUGGAGUAGUGGCUGGGGAGGAGAUUGAAGCCAGAGAGGGGUGGGAAGCGGUUCCGAUGAGGACGACGAAGGAGUGGAGCCGGAAAGAGCGGUGAUUGUGAGUGCAUGCAGGUUGUGUCGGCCUGCCAGCUUUGUUUCCGAAAUCUAUAUCGCGCUCCAAAUAAAAACGCGCAAAGCCGUUUUGUUACGCACCCUGGAUCAACUAUAACGCGCGCAUGUUUUUUAUGCGUUUGCUGGAGCGUCCGGAACGCGCGCGUUUUUUAUGCGUUUGCUGGAGCGUUCAGAACGGCUGCACGUACGUAAAAAAGACUGGCGACACUAAAGUAGCGCGUCUGCUGGAGAUGCUCUACCAGAAAGAAGUAGUACAAGGGGAGCAUAAUAUUCAUCUUUUGCAUGGACUAGGAAGGGCCUCGCCCAGCUUGCACUUUAUAAAAACUUGAGUGGUAGCAUGCAUUGACAUAAAAUCAUGGAUCUUUGGGUAGUUGAAUGCAUACCUUAAUUAUAUGCUUGGUCCUUCGAUAGUUGAAUGCAUAUCUUGAUUAUAUGCUUGGUCCUCCGGUAGUUCAGAGGAUACAAGAGACAACAAUGCCAUUGAUAGCCUCCAUAAAAUUGGACAUAUCACUCCUGCUCAUGUUCGGAUUGGACAUCACCCAAUCUCGAGAUGGCAAUGCCCUGGAUGGCGUCGACCACCGCGGCAAGGGCUUGGACGUGACAUCGUCGGAGGCGGGACGUGAGGUGUCAGGGGCAUGGGACGAGAGGAGAGGGGUGAGAAAGAAAUCGUGUCGGAGGAGACGAACCCGUUUUGGGGAAGAAGAAACACAUUCAACCAUUUCUUUUAGACAGGACUGUUAGAAGUAUAAUUGGGCUUAAGUUAGAGAUAAGGAGAUAGAGAUAAAAUUAGUUUAAAUCACAUGUAACUUGUCUUGUACUCCAAGCCUCUACCCCUCAUGUACUCCUAUAUAUAUUCCCACAAGGGUUAGACAUCGAUGACACAUCGCGCGCGCGCCAGCACAUGACGCGCAGCACGCAGGGACACCAGCCAGCUGCCACACCCGCGGCGAAUCGCGCGGGGCACUGCAUGCAGCCAUGCAUGCAUGUGGUCGGCGACUCCUCUAGAGCAUGCAAAGCUUCUCGUCGAUACGUUGACGAUUCCAUUCUCCUGCGCAUCUCGUGGAGCACCGAGCCGACUCCAGCGCUUCUCGUCGGCCUCGCGUCUCUAUGACACAAGCAGAGCCCAUGUGUUCACGUCCAUGAAUGGAAUCCAGACUCCAUCUAGGCUCAGGGCUGCGUACUCGUGUACAAGAUUAAGAGGCUCCACUUGAAGGGAGUACGUCUGAUCCGCAUUGAUCCUCGACACAUCAUCAAGUUGGACAACUACAUCGAUCGUUCUGCACUGCAUCAAACCAAACUACAUCAGAUUCAUCGUCGAGCACACUACGAGAAGCAACAUCGACAUGCAUCACCCACACGCGCAGCUGUGAAUAAGUGACGCAAUUCUUCAUCGAUUUCCCCGGCGCGACACGGCAUCGACACUUGGUCGUCAUAAGGGACGCCUUCAAGCGACACAUUAUCGUUGACACGCUGCUGCGACGCCACCGCCGACACUUCAUCGCCAAGGUCUUCACCAACAUCUUCGUCAACACGCCGCUGCCCCUCGUCCACAAGAUGGACACCUAGCGUCCUCUGACAAAUUUUUCUGCAAGGCGCGACCCCGACGACGGCAAUGACCGCGUUACGACGACGACAUCAACCGCGUCAUUCACGACUGCAUCGACAUGGCGUCACUACAGUGACGACCCCUACACGGCCUCACGGUUCUGGCAAAAUCGAUGUGUGCUCGAUGGGUUUCCUCCGGUCCUGGCAAAACCGGCGGACUCAUCGCCGACGGCACCCUCUGACAUCCGCAAGGUGCAUCGUCCACGUCUGCAGCUCCGUCAUAGCGUAUUUUUUUGCGCCUCCGGCUUCGUGCGGCUUCAUCAUCCACGACGAUCACACAUCGACCACGACUACCUCGACCACGGCUGCAUCAUCAUGAUCGGCUACCUCCACAUCGACAUUAAUGGCUUGGUCUACAGCAACUCAUCGGCAACAACUCCAGUCAACAGCGUCCGCGUCGUCACUAGCGUCCACGCCACUCCCGGUGUGACCGCGGGAGGGAAUAGAGGAGAGACAAGGAAGGCACCAGAAGGGGACGCAGUCACCACCCUAGGUGCCGACCCAUCAGAGACGCAGUUGAUGAUGACGCGGUGGAGAAGAUGACAAAGGCGCAUGACUUCAAAUUCAGUCGCAAGCGUCCACUUCACUCCCGCUACGACUGAGGGGUAAUGUUAGAAGUAUUAUUGGGUUUAAGUUAGAGAUAAGCAGAUAGAGAUAUAAUUAGUUUAAGCCACAUGUAACUUGUCUUGUACUCCAAGCCUCUACCCCUCAUGUACUCCUAUACAUAUAUCCCUACAAGGGUUAGAUCAAUACAACACAACAACACACAAUACUCAACCAUUAUAAAAUUUCCACAAGGAUAGUCCACGAAAUUCGACUGACAAUAAAAUAUGAUUUCAUCCAUCCAACGUAUAUGUUGCCCCUUUCUUUUUAAGAAUAAAAACUAAAAAUAUGAUUUCAUCCAUCCAACGUAUAUUUUGCCCCUUUCUUUUUAAGAAUAAAAACUACUCCAUUCUAUUCAUAAAGCCGCAUUGAUCAGAGGGAGUAUUAAACUUUUGACCUCUGUAUUAAGAUCAUGCACCUACCCAACACACAAAACUGACUAGUAUUAGUUUCUCUAAAGGCCCGGUUGAUUUUCAUUCCCGAGAAGCUAAGUAGAGCCAACCACUACAAGAAAUAUAUUAAUUUGUGACCUUCUAGCAGUGAUCCCGUUUUCGAAAGCAGGCCAUCGCAUUCCUUUUUUUGCACACGAAAUCAAGAUCUACCCGACCAAGCUAGCGCACUUCAUUACUAGAAAAACAACUAUAGCUAAUAUGAACACUAAUGACGCACUAUACAUGUGGUGCGUCAUUGCUAAAUAGUAAUAACACAUCAUGUGUAGGUUCGUCAUUAGUAACUAAAAUAGUAAUGACGCACUAGGUGAAAUGUGUAGUUUGGCUGAACUAGAUAUGACUGAGCGCAUCUAUCUAAAAAAAAAAAAGAUCUGAGCGCAUCAUCACCACCAGGGGCGCUACGUCCUUGCGGCGCGCUCCGGCGCGGUCCUGACCAGGUACACCGGCGACUCGCAGCUGCCGUCUCUGCACCAGCCCUGGCCGGCGCCCGAUUCCGUCGUCCUCGAAAGGCCGGCACCCGGCGAACGGCGGCGGUGGCCGGGCGUGCGGGUAGUCCGGGAAGCGCUGCCGGUCGGACGGGUCGAAGAGCGGGAACGACUGGCGCCUGCGCGCGCCGGCGGCGUUGGCGCGCAGGAAGCCGUCGAUGACCCGGCACUCGUCCCGCAGUCGGUUCUGCACCUCCCGCAGCGCCGACUGCGUCGUCGGCGCGGGCGGCCUCCUGCCGCCGCCGCCGCCCUGCUGCUUCGCGACGGAGCCACGUGCCUUGCCGUGCUGCUGCUGCUGCGCGGACGACGCUGGUGUCGGCGUCCUCAUCCUGUCGCUGGCGCGGCGUCUGGCCCUGAGCCGGUCGUGGCAUGCCGUGCAGAAGGCCGUGGCGUGCUCAUCGUCGAAGGCCCUCCGGCGCGCCUUGUCCGUCAUGCACGCGUGCGCCUGCGAAACGAAAUGCAGGGCAGACCACGUUAGUGCGCUACUGUAUGAGUAACAUUGCCAUCACGUGUAAACUAUUUUUUUUUAGAAUACUACUCUGUAUUAAUUAAUUAUUAACGUUAGUGCGCAUUCGCGUGCAGUUAGUUGGCCUAAACAGCUCGAAUUCGAAGUGGCCACGAUCAAGUAACCGUAACUGACGGAUGAAGGUACUAGCAAAGAAACAGCCAAUCUCUUCCAUAGGCAACAACCUAGCUACUGACGGAGGGAGAACUUGUUGGUAGGAGUAUAAACUAGGAAUGUCAGAACGGCAGCAACAACAAUAUAAAAAGGCAAAGAGAUUCCAAGUGAACCGCAAGAUCAUGAUUAAAAGGGACACGUACCCAACGGCUUGCGCGAGCACGCGGAGCGAGUAGAUGAUCAAUCGAGUGUAAAUUACCUCGGAGACGAGCUUGAAGGCGACCUCCGCCUUGGGAUGCCCGUUCUUGUCCGGGUGCAGCUGCAGCGCUGGCCACGAAUCAAUCCAGAAAAAUUACCAUCAGUGUACGGGGGUACGAUCAGUAAUUAAACGCAGCCAUCAACCGUGUGGCGUGACGUAUUGGUACCGAGGUGCCGGUAGCGCCGCUUGAUGGCGUCCUCCGACGCGGCCUCGCCGAUCUGCCACCGGUUCCCGACAUGGAGGAGUUAAUUAACACGAUGGCGAAGACAGAGGCGCAACGAGGAGGAAGAAGGACGUGCACUGCAUUGGUAUGUACGUACGGCGAGGACGAGGUACCAGUCGACCAAUUUCGCGCGGCGCGGUGACCGGCGGCGGUGCGGGAAGGACGUGAAGGCCGCCGACGCCGCGCACACCUCGCGUGCCGCCUGCGCCUUCCCGGCCGCGUCCGCCAUUGGCGUGGCCGGCCCGGUCGAUCGAUCUGUCGACGUACGGCGACCGCCGCGAGGACGCGCGUGUGUAUGAGUGAUCGAUCUCCGGUGAAGCAGUCUGUCUGCGUGAACAAGGUGUCGGAGGACGAAGAGAGGUUUUUGUUGGCAAUGUGGCACUCCACGCUGGAAGGUGCAGGCCGCUACAGUUCGAGUCAAGGAUGGGAUCCAAGCACCCGAUGAUGACUCACUGAUCGUAGCAGUAGAAACUUGGUGAGACAGCAGCCGGCGAUUUCCUCGUCGGCGUUGCUUCUUGUGAAC